rfam:Gossypium raimondii Chr10_contig_735, whole genome shotgun sequence.
AUGCCAUGACGAGGACAUUUUUGCAACAACUCCUUGAAUUUCUCCUAUGCAUCAUAGAAAGAUUCGUAACAAGUUGCUGAAAUGUGGCGAUUUCAUUUCUAAUCUU